rnacentral:rRNA from 1 species
UACAGAGGGUGCGAGCGUUAAUCGGAAUUACUGGGCGUAAAGGGUGCGUAGGUGGCCUGAUAAGUCAGAUGUGAAAUCCCUGGGCUUAACCUGGGAAUUGCAUUUGAUACUGCCAGGCUAGAGUGUGAUAGAGGUAAGCGGAAUUCCCGGUGUAGCGGUGAAAUGCGUAGAUAUCGGGAGGAACAUCAGUGGCGAAGGCGGCUUACUGGAUCAACACUGACACUGAGGCACGAAAGCGUGGGUAGCAAACAGG